GACGAACGCUGGCGGCGUGCUUAACACAUGCAAGUCACGGGGGUUGGGGCAACCCAGCAACCGGCGAACGGGUGCGUAACACGUAAGCGACCUACCCCGGAGCGGGGGAUAGCCGGCCCAACGGCCGGGUAAUACCGCAUACGACCGUCUGGUGGCAUUGCCGGACGGUGAAACCUGCGGGGCUCUGGGAGGGGCUUGCGGCCUAUCAGCUAGUUGGCGGGGUAACGGCCCACCAAGGCGAUGACGGGUAGCUGGUCUGAGAGGAUGGCCAGCCACAUUGGGACUGAGAGACGGCCCAGACUCCUACGGGAGGCAGCAGUGGGGAAUCUUGCGCAAUGGCCGAAAGGCUGACGCAGCGACGCCGCGUGGAGGAUGACGCCCUUUCGGGGGUGUAAACUCCUGUUGCCCGGGACGAACGAGCGGUUUCGACCGCUGUGACGGUACCGGGUGAGGAAGCACCGGGCUAACUCUGUGCCAGCCGCCGCAGUAAC
rnacentral:rRNA from 1 species